UUAGAUCAUUGUUGAGCUCAGUACUAAUUACUCUAUCAUUGCAAACCCGGUUACGGGAUGCUUUUGCUUCUGACCAAAUCAUUUCUUCAUUAUAGGCAGAUUCAUCGCACGGCCUCUGACUUCUCUUUGCCAAGCGGUUUAUCAAUGAAAAGUGGGCAGCCAAUGGAUGAUCCUCACAACUUCAGCAGAGAACCAAUACGCACAGAACUUAAUUUGAACAAACCAAACGAACAUGCUGAACCGAGUCAAGUGUCUCUCGGGAAUCAAUCUUCCCCGUUAAAGGAAAUCCCUGAACACAGGCCGAUUCAUCAAACGCAGUCAAUGGACGAUCCUAACAACUUCAGAAGAGAACCAAUACGCACAGAACUGAAGUAUGUGUUAAUGUGAAGCAAUGUGUUAAACA